GUUACAACAAGUAAUACGUGUUAUUUUCAAAAUGAAAAAUUCAAUUUUAAGAAGGCUUAUAUGCAGAUAGUUUUUGACUAACUAGAUAGUAUACCAAAUUUCUUACAAUGAUUAUGUAACUAUAAUUUAAAAUCUAAGACUUGCCGUGCAGGAAUGGCCUUAAUUAGUUAAAGGCUUAAAUAUGAUUUAAUUGUAUAAAUAUUAUUAUUAUUAUUAAUGUACAUAACUUUAGCUCUUUCAUACUACUUGUAUAGUAUUUUAGAUAGAACAACGAUACAAUUUAAAUGACAUAUUUCUAAAUUUAAUUUAAGGGAUGAAAAAGCUCUCUCUAGAUCCCUCCCUUUCAAAUAAGAUGUUACAUUAUCUUUUAUACUCCUUAUAAUUAAUAUUUUAGAUGGGAAAAUGAUGCAGCUUAAUCAUUCUGUUUUCAAUCUAGAGGCCCUCCCUUUUGUCUUGGAUGUAAGAAAGGGGUUCAAUUAUUGUCAUUUAUCUGGUGAAAAACUUUCACUUAGAGCACCUGCAAAAUAAUAGUAAUUCCAUACACAAUGCAUACAUAUAUAUAUAUAUGUUGAUUUAACUUUCCAUGUUAUAUUUGUACUGUGCUAGAGGUAUGUAGGUGUGUUUUUUUCUUUUCGUAACAGGUUAAUUACUUACAGGAAGAUAAAGGUCGAUAAAUUGAAGGAUCAUUUUCACUUGUGCUCAUACUUUGUGUUGAUCUUUAAUUUUUGUUCCUCAAAAUAGAUACUAAUUUUUUUGAGGGACAUAUAUUUGUAUCAUAAUAACCAAGAAGUUAUAUAUGUCAUGCGCCCAUAAAAAAAAUUACGCUCCGCUAGUCAUAAGUUUGAAUGAUACAGGAAAAGAUAAAGAUCAAUUAUUUAAAAGAAAAAAAUUAAAGAUCGACCCAUUUAAAUUAAAGAGCAAACCGUGUUUGGACUGAUGUUACAUGAUUAUAUUUUGGAAUAUAUACCAAGCCCUAGCCUACAUGAGUUCUCUACUUCAACCCAUGCAUGACUUGAUUGAAAUGUGGUUAUUUGGCAUCUAGCAUCUUUAAUUUGAAAUGCCUCUACGGUCUACACAAUAGAUGCAUAUAGUAAAAAGGAACACAUUACGUACUUAUAAAAUAUCAUAUUUAUAAUUGCACUACGAAUUUUGUAAGUAUCUUGAUAAUACUAGCAAAUCAAGACUGUGUAUAACUUAAAUUAAGUAUUACUAGUAACAAAUUUUUGCUGGCUAAAUAUUGUAGUGUAAUUUCAUCGAUUAUAUGUAGUAAAAAACAAGUUGAAUGACAAGACCCAUCAUAAAAGUAAGUGAAAUUUCGGAUCCGUGUUUUAUGGGUGUCGCUUUGCUGGAAAAAUAUGAAUGAGUCAAUGGUACUCUUUAACAUAUACUCUAUCUAUCAACUUAUCAUGACUUCUUUCAUGUCACAUCGACUUUAGUCAAGGCAAAAUAUAUUUUGCAAUGAGCCAAUGACAACUAAUAAGGUGAAAGAAAAUUGAAGAUCACAAGCUCAAGUCGUGAUAAUAGUCUUAUGUUGCAUUGUUGGGUAUAAUAGAUUUUUAUAAUCUGAUUUUUUCUUAGACCACGUACAUAUAUAAUAGAAAUUUUAGUGUAUUCGACUAUUCUUUCACUACAUGCGUUAUAGUAAAAGUAAAUUGAAAACACAAAAAAAAAAAUAACUAGCUUGUUACUGCUAGUAGGACAUACAUUUAUAUAUGAUUUACCAUAAAAAUAACAUAUAUAUUAUAAUUGUAUGUAUACAACUCAAAUUCCUAGCCCUAGGCUUGUUGUUUCUAUGAUAGAUCAACGCGGCUGAGGGAAUCCUCUUUUUUUUUCCUUGGGUACCUUGAAAUUUUAACAUAAAAGAAUCUAUUAAAGUUGAUGGAAAUACUACAUACAUAUUUUGGGGAAGACGUUAUGAAUUAUAAUUUGCAGUUUCUUUGUUGGGUUUACAUCUAUGAUCCAUCCAUCAAUCCUGACCAGUCAGAAGCAGCGAAUCAGUUUCCAAUUGUCACUUAAAAGAUUUCUUAAAAAAAUUAAUCUAAUUUGACUAUUCACAAAAGUAAUAAUCUCUUGUUGUAGGCUUAUUCUUUUCUCAUGCUAAGAGGUAUACCUCAGUCAAAAAAGCAAUUACCAAAAGCAUUCAUGAUUGACAAUUAUUGCAAUGUAAAUUACGUAUUACUCCUCCGUUUUAAUAAAACAUACUCUUUCCAAAAAGAAUAUUUUAAUCUUUCAAAUUUUUCAUUUCAUUUUUUCACAAAAUUAAAUUAUAUUUUGAUACAUUCUAUAUUUAUUUUAAUGUAAGAUCAUAAGAUUCAAUUUUUUAAAUUUUCUUAAAUUUUGUGUAAAAUUGAAAUGAAAUAAAUAAAUUAAAAUGUACUCUAAUAAUUUGAUAAAAAUGAUAAUUAACUGUUGCUAUUACAAAUUGAAGUUCAAUCAUCUUAUAAAGGAAUUUAUAUUGCCCUUGUAUAUAACCAAGAGUGGAGCAAGAAUGCCAAGGGCGUCGUCUAAAAUUACACUCUCAUUAUGGUGAAAUAAAAAAUAACUUCUUUAAUUUUGUGUAUAUAUAUAUAUAGUAGAUAUUGAAUAUUUUUAUUUUCUUUAUGUAACUUUUUUCAUAUUUUUAUUCUUUUUAGUGAAAAUAUGCAAUAAUUCUGUUUUUUACUCCAUUGUCUUUAAACUCCCAACAACAACAAACCUAGUGUAUUCCCACAAAGUAGGAUCUGGGGAGAGUAAGAUGUACGCAAUUCAUACCGCUACCUCCGAAGAAGUAGAGAGGUUGUUUCCGAUAAAACCCCGGCUCAAGAUAAAGAAUAGCAAACAAGGAGAUGUCUUUAAACUCCCACCUCCCCUAAAUUUCGGCACUAUUCAUAGUUAGAAAUUUUAUACUAAUAAUUAAAGAUAAUAAAUAAAAUUAUUAUUUUAUUUUUUUACUAUUAUAAGGUCUACCAAAUCAAGCAUGAAUAAAUAAAAAUGCAUGGAUAUUAAUUAAGCGCCGCGGCUUUAAUUUAUUUGUUUGAUCCUCUCAUCCUCCCCAUUAGCCUUUAGGCAAAGCUAGUCUCACGAUUCAGAAAGCCAAAUGAGAUUUGUAUUUGUAGCAAUGCAUAAACGUGCUUGCAACCAUAUACUUUCUCAUUUAUAGCUUAACCACGCCCCUUUAAAAAAUACUUUAUCUCUAGAAAGUAAGAUAUUUUUUUAAGCUUAUAUUCACCCUUGAUAUCUUUAAAAAGAUGUAAUUCGAUAGUUUCUUUUAAAACUUUCUUUUAGUUAAAUGAGGAUAAGAUUGAAGGCGUCAGUAAUUAAUGCCUUUUCUUUCAUCUUAAAAUGAAGGGUGUAUACUACUCCAAUCAGACACUAACUAACUAAUAAAUCUUGAUUAAUUAGCAACAGAAGAAAAUUAAUUAGUUUAGUUUAUUAAAAACAAGACCUAACAUAGAUGCUGGAUUAAUCAAAGGGACAUUCUGCAUACAGCAGCAGGUGGGUGGGAAUGACUUGACUUCCUCCUACCUCUAUCAUUACCAUCAUUAUUAUUACUGUUACCUAAAAAUAAAGUCCCCCAAAUCUCAGAAAAAGCGUCAACAAUCACCCCAUGAUAAUGUUUUCCGUUCAACGACAGAAAACAUUGUAAAAGCUGUUCAAGCUCAUUCUUCUCAAACAUUUCCUUCUCCAAUAUCAUUUCCAUCAUUGAUCUCUUGAAAUCUUCAUAAGGAUCCUGCGAUUUCUUCACGAUCGCGAAGCUCUCCUUCACUUUCCCAUCUACACUACAUGGUAUUAGCUUCUUGAACACUGAUAACCUAGCUGGUAACUCGCUGUCUGAUGAUGUAGAAACCGACGAUCUUCUACCUAUCGAGACAUAACAUAAUUAAUACUCCAUACUAUGUAUUUUUAAUAACAAUAAUACUUUUUCUGUCUCAGAUUAUCUCUGUGUAGUACUUUUUAAGAAUAUUUCUCCUCUCAAGAAUUAUGAAUGUUCAAAUACGAUAAAAUAGUUAUAAACCUUUUCUUAAGAAAUGUUUUUUUUGGUAAAAAAGAAACAUGUGAAAGAGAACCAUGACAAUUUGAAACUCAGGGAGUAUGCAGAAGUAUUGUCAAAUAUUUUUAAAAUGUUUUCACAUACUUGACCCUAAAAAAAAGUAAAUAGCACACAAGAGGGAGCAUAUUGGAACGACACAAGGUAAAUCAAAUAGUCUUCUGUUUCAAUUUAUGUGUAACGAAUUUUGAUGGAAGCUCAAAUUUUUAAAAAAAAUUAUGAUCUAAAACAACUUAUAGAUAUUUACACUACUAUAAUACCAGUAUUUCAUUAAAAUAAGAUAGAAAAGUUAAAAAUAAGAUUAUCUGUAAAUAUUAACUUGUAGAUGAUUGAUCACACAAAUACUUUUACCUUUUGAAGAGGAGAAACUUGGUCUAGAAUGCUUCACUCUCCUCUUGGUGUUGCCGUUUCUCUUGUACCGACGCCUAAUUGUAGCAGUCUCACAUAUAGUUUCCAACUGAGGAUUAAAAUCAGUAGACGAAUCAUCAUCACUCGAGAAAUCGAAGCUUCUGGAAGAUGAAACCAAAGUUUCAGUUUCCUCUUCAGUUUCAGUUCUGCAGUACUCCUCAGCUGAAGACGUGCUCAUUCUAAUCGCUCUACUCCUCGUUUUCGUCUUUUUAACUCUCCGUUUCUUCUUCUCCGUCUUCUCAACAUGAUGAGUACUGAAUCGCGGAGGAGUAGUUGGCGGCUUUAUGGCCAAAUGUAUCUCCUCCUCUUCACAUUGUUCUUCUUCUUCUUCUUCUUCAGAGACGAAGGAGCUGGAAAUCACGUGAAACUUCUCUUCUUUCUGCCACUUGAAUUCCGGCUCGUAAGGAGUAUUUGGAUUUGUACUGAGCUUACUAUUAUUAGUAGUAUGUGAUGGGUAGAAAUUAGGAUUUUGGGGAAGAGAAGAAGGCUCUUUGGAACGGCAAGAAUUGAAGGAAGCAAUAACUUUGGAGAAACGAAGUUUCAAACUUUUUCCCAUUCUUUUUUGUCUCUGUGUUUGUUUUUUGGCCCUUUGAUAAAGUGUGAAGGUGAGAGUUGUUUAUAUUGGGGACAAGGGGUGAUGGAGAGCGUGACCCAGAGUCUCUAAAAUGUUUUGAGUUAUUAGUCAAAGUUAGUAGUAAUUGGUUUUACUGAUAACGGUUUAAUUUCUCCUUUUCACGCUUAUUGAGAUAAAUCAUUGUAAUUUUUGAAAGAAUUUUAAUUUUUUCACAUUAGACAUUGUCAUGUUUCUUGCAUUAUAUAGUUGUUGAUAAUCGUUAGUAAAGACUAAAUUCAAAAAAUAAGACAAUUUACCUACUACUUAAAAUACAAUAACAUUCUGUAAUUAUGUGUAUAAAGAAAGAAUUUUUAUUAUAUUGGGGAUAAAAGAAAGAAAAGAAAAAAGAAGACAGUAUAGAUACUACUAUUAGACUAAUGAGCUUUGCUUAUUUUUGCAUAUUAACACUCAUACAUAUAGUCGAUAGUCUAUCAAAAACAUUUCUAUCCUAAUUCCGGACAAGGUAAGGUAGUAUUGCGUAUAUAUCACUCCUUUCAAAAAUCUUUCUUGUAGGACUAUAUGUUGUUAUUAUGUCUAGCUUUUCACAUGCGUUUACACUUUGCACAGAUCGAGGAGAAGAGAAUAGGACAAACUUCAAAUUUGGAGUAAUAGUCCUCUAUUAAAUUAGAAUGUUGAUAGAUGGGGAUAAAGUUGUAGGCAGUGAGAAACAGGAAGCUGCAGAUGCAGUUUCAUCUGUUUACUCUUUACUUGUAGAGAAAACAUUUCAAUGAAAGGUCUGAAAUUAGUUGGCGUCUAGCAGGCAAGAGAAUUUAAUAAAGUGAUUCUAUGUAUGUAUGCAUUGUAAUGAAUUCACUAUCCAGGGAAACCAACCGUACCGUACUCUGUUGGAUUCCCAUUUUUCUUUCCAACUUCUUCAUUCCACCAUCAUGUUAUAAAUCCAUCUUUUCCUCUAGUUACUACUUUGGCUUGGUUUGAUACCAAGCAAAACGUUUUUUGGAGAUAAAUGUUUUCCGGGAUGUUGAUUCAAUCAGAAUAUCUGUAGGAACGACCGAUGAACACUUUUCCAAUGGCUAAUUCCAUGGGAAAAUAGUGAUUUUUAGUAGUGAUAUAUCCGCAAGUCAAAUUGUGAUGAUAUGUCGAAACUCCUUAAUGAAACUCAUUUUAUGUAAUACUGUUUGACUUGUCACGUUGUUUAUGUUAAAAAAAAUAAAAUUGAAACUUGUGAUCUAAAUCAAUCCUUGUAUAUUUAUGUGACUGUAAAUCAUUUCAUCAAGUCUAAAAAAGAAAUUUUUGAAGUUAAAUUGUUUCUAAUUAUAAUAAGGUGACAAUUUUUGGGACGGACGGAAAAGGAUAUGGUGAAACAUAAAAUGUGACUGGCUGGAGUAUAAAAUUCUACAUGUACAACUAGGGCAAAAAUUUACACGCACCCGAUGUAUACAUCAAGCUAUUGUUCUUUAUCAUGAUUACGUAAUUAAAUUAAAUAAAAUGCAUGUUAAUUAAUCAUGAUUAAGUAACAUGAACUCUAAAUUCAAACACAUGGCAUGUAUGUAUCGGCUUGAUGUAUAGAUCAGGUGCAUGUAAGUUUUAACCUACAACUAGUUAGACUUACCCUAGUUAGAUGCUUGGUUGAAAUCUCGCUAAAUAUUCUUUUUCUUCUUCUCCCUUUCCCUACUCUUACUAAUAUAUGGAUCCACCACAAAAUGCAAUUAAAUGAACAAAGAACUACAAAUAGAACCAGAAACAUAGACUAAUUCCCAAAUCAAACAUAUUAAUCCCUAUCACUAUACAAAUAACUUUUUUAAUGUUAUAAAGCUUUCCGAUAUUAUCUAUUAUAUAUAGGCAAAUAUAGUGAGACAGACGAGCAUUGGUGGCAAAAAAGUACUUUACAAAGAAAAGUAAUCUUUUGUCUUGGAUCAUAAUGAAACCAUUUGCAUAUUAGGCCACUUGAUAGAAAUGAAAAAGAAGGUACUAAUCUUCUUUGUCUUUGGACGACAGCAUUUUGAAUGAUGUGCCUUGUGAAAAUUAAAGCCAGUACAAAUAAGAAACCUCUCAAAAGAUUAUAAGGGAAUCCAAGAAAACAAAAUCAUCCAUCCAUGGACUUGUCCUUUCUUUUCUCUGUUUUCUCGUUACAAGGACACUUGCUAGCCUAUCCGUGUGACGAAGCAAGGAUUUUUUUCAUUAAAAAUUAAUUACAAGCUCAAAUCAAAGAAAUUGAAAUAUAGUAUGUAUACGGAAAAUUUAAUUUUUUAUAUGUCUAUCUACACAAUAUAAAUUUUGGGAAUGUCAAUAUUAAGCUCUACCGUUGCAGGUGACAAAGUAUGAGGGUGUUGUGAAGUACUUGCGUUAGUAAGGAGCAUAAGUGUGCACAAGUUUAUUUACAUGAAUUUAACUUAUAUACGUUGAUGCUAUAAAUAUCUUUGCAUACUUUCAGUUAAAUUUAAUCUGAUGUAUCAAAUUAAUCCAUUUUACUUAUUCGAAAACAGAUUAAAACAAAGGAUGAACUUGUACAGUAGAUUCCGAAAACUCUCUCUGUGAUAUUAAAUACACUUACUUUUAUCAGUUAGGUGAAGUGGACUACUUUUUGGAAACAAAACAAAACAAAAAAGAUUUGGAGCCAAAGACAAACUAAAAAACUCUUUCUUUUUAUUCGUGUUUGAUAUUUAUAUUAAAACUUUGAUUAGUAUACUUAGAUUUGCAUCGUGUAAGAUCAGACUACAUACCUACUACGUAGAGUAGAAAUGAGUAGUUAAAAUCAACUCCAGUGAUCCAAUUCAUGGGUAUGUUAUUAUGUGUUGGUCCAGAUUUCUGAAAGUUUGUGGGAAUUGAAAUAAAAGGACACUUGCUGAGUAUGACAUUUUGCCAAACUUUCUUUACAUUUCAUGGCCAUCUAAAUAUAUUUUUUCGUACAUCUAGUCUUCUAGAUUACAGAGUACCUCACUCACACUAGGAUGAAUUAUUGGCCAGGAAAUUGUUGAAGAGAUAGAGCCUUUUAAUUUGCAACUGAGAUUGUAUAACACCAUUAUAGUCAAUUACAGUAAGAUUUUUGGCAUAGCACAUCAGUAACUUCUAAAAUUUGCCAAGUCUAAUUUUUAUUUAGACAUUUGAAUUGCUCUAUAUGUCAAUUCAGCACCUGAAUCUGUGAUAAAGCUUUUUUAUUGCACAGUUUCAACUCAAAAUUUUGAGAAAAUUUGGCAUGUGUUGUCAAGUAUACGCAGAUAAGAAAUUUUUUGAAUUACGCACAUAAGUUAAUCACAUAAAAUAUAUCAAAUCCUUUGAUUAUAUGCAUUAGCCUCUUCAAGUCGUAGAAGAUCAUGAAUGUUCCAAUUGAUGUUAAUGUGUAUAAUUAAAGAUACAUGCAUUGAUUUUAUCCUGUCUAUAUGCAUUCAAAUGAAGACGGAAAAUAUGGAACUUGCUUUCUCCAUCUUCAUUCCAUCAUAUCUCCGGUGACGGAUUCACGGCAAAUUAUACAUUCGUACUAAGUUCAGAUAUAUUGUAAAGAUAAAUAAUUCUAAAAUUCUGAAUCCACCUUGCAAAAUUUAAUAUAUGAAAUUAAUUAGUCAAUUAUAAUAAACGAACAUGCAAAAUAAAAUUCUAGAAAUCUUAAUGCCCGCACGAUUGCUGAAAGAAAGGAGGAACCUUAAUUUAGGCUUCACUUUUCCAAAUCUAUCGGCAAAAAAUUACCCACCUCAAAUACUAGUUAGUUUUAGGCAAACAAAAACAGAGAAUAGAAUGUUGGUUUUUUCAUUACUGCAUAACAAUCCUUAAUUAUCUCUGAGCCUUUUUCUUCUCUUACAAACAAAACACACAUUCUCUUUCCUUCGAAAUUCACUGUCUCUCAUUCAUUCGCGCACACUCAAAAUUAAGUUGAUUUAAUUUCGGCAUAAGGUAAUUACAUCAGUGUGGGUUGGGUUAAAUUAUAAUUUACAUGAGGAUACUUUGUCCAAAUGUUGAUAGAGAAGAUGGGUUGGAGACAGUGUUGGAGGUGCCAAUACCAGAUGAAAUGUUCAAAAGUAUGGGGAGCAAUGCAGCACUUAGAUGGCAAAAUAUGGCAACCUGGAUGAAAGCUCAAACAUCUGAUAAAUGGUCUUCUCCUAUCGUUGCUGCACGUUAUAAUGAACUUAGUUUCCUCCUUUUCAUGAUCGGAUCUCCUCUUAUCCCUUUCCAAAUCGAAAUCGGACAAUCCGUUACUCGUCCUGUCAAACAUUCUUCCAUCGUAAGUUCUGACAUUUUUUCCCGACCAACUUGCAUGCAGCACGACUAAUUAGAACCUAAAGUUGAGAUUGUUAGAUUAAAUUAAACAAAAAAUAUGCAUGCCAAUCAAGAAAACAGUGUCUACAUUUUAGGAUUCUGAUCGACCACAACUCUAUGUUACGCGGAUCCUUCAUUUGUAUUGAUGUACCUGUAUCAAGAGAACGUAAUAAGGAUACUGGUACUAUCAAGCGAAUACACUAAAAAUUAGCCAGAAUUUAUCCGUUAGAUCUACUUAUUGAUUUAUCUGUAUUGGAUACUUGACUAAUUUAAAAAAUUGCCGUGCAGGAAGCGUCAACAGCAAAAUACAUAUUGCAACAGUACAUAGCAGCAACAGGAGGGCAACCAGCGCUAAACGCGGUGAAUAGCAUGUGUGUAGUUGGGCAAGUUAAAAUUACUGCAUCUGAUUUCCAUCAAGGUGAUCAGAAUGUGAAGGCGAGAAAGAGUGAGGAAAACGGAGGCUUUGUGCUUUGGCAAAAGAACCCUGACCUUUGGUGCUUAGAGUUACUUAUCUCUGGAUGCAAAGUCAUUUCUGGUAGUAAUGGCAAAAUCUCAUGGAGACAAUCAUCUAACCAAAUAAGGCCUAUCUCCAAAGGCCCUCCUAGACCCCUCCGUCGCUUUCUGCAGGUAUAACAAUCUUCAACUGUUAUACACACGUUAGGGUUAAUUUCAUGUAUGGUCACUAGAUUUUGCCCAAUAGGACAGUAAAGUCACAAAACUAUUUCAGUCAGUAAUUUUGGAUGUGGUAAGCAUUUCACACAUAGUUAACUUACACUUGAAAUUAAGCGUAGACAAUAAUAUUAUUCAUGAAGGUUGCUUCUCGGGAGAGGCUAAAUGAUGUGCCAUUUUUGUAGGGACUAGAUCCUCGGUCUAUAGCAAACUUGUUCGCGAAUGCAGUCUGCAUAGGAGAGAAGAUAGUAUGCGACCAGGACUGUUUCAUCCUCAAACUAGACACGAAUCAAGCAGCAUUGGAGGCACAAAGUGGACCAAAUUAUGAAAUACUUCAUCACACCAUUUGGGGAUACUUCAGCCAAAGAUCAGGCCUAAUAAUCAAAUUUGAGGAUUCCAGGCUGCUAACAGUUAAGACCAGCAGGGACGAUGAGGGAGUCUUUUGGGAAACGAGCACAGAAUCUGUUAUGGGGGACUAUAAAUAUGUUGAUGGAGUUAAUGUCGCGCAUUGUGGCAAGACUUAUGUUACAGUUUUCAGAUAUGGUGAGCACUCUGCAAACCACAAGAGGCAAUUGGAGGAAAAAUGGAAAAUCGAAGAGGUAGAUUUUAAUGUUGGACGUUUGACAACUGAAUUCUUCAUGCCUCCUUCAGAUUUCGUCAAUGAACAUUCUCGGUUCUAGAAUAGACGUUGGAAAUUAUAUUCUCGAAGCAUAUAUUCAACACAGUUUUGCAGUAUAUACACAAACAGAAAGCUUUUCUCCUGUCUAGAAAGUCUUAAAAAACUACUGUACUAAUUUGAACAGCAUAGAUUAGAAAAAUUUGUCAAAUCUCUAUCUGAUGACAAUUGUUUGCCUCUACAUAUAGUCACCUUAACUUUCUUACCUCCAGAAAAUUACAAAAUGGAAGUCUCUUAUACCUCUUCUUGAACACCACAUAUAUAUGAUCAGACGCGGACCUGGGACGAGCUCUCUGAGUUGAAUUGAACCAUCAUUUUCCACUCGGGCUAUGUACAUAUAAAAAAACAGUAAAAAUGUAUAUAUGUAAUAAGAGCACACACAUUUUGAACUCACUAACUCUACAUUCUGAUUUUGCCUCUGUCCAGAAGAAGAAGAAAAAAAGGUUUUCCUUAUGAAUUUGAAAUUUAUCGGUUUUCUCAUUUUCUACCCGAGCCAAACAAGUAGACACUUUUUAAUGCCUUCUUUCCUGUAUUCAAACAAAGCUUUUAUAUAAGAUUUGAAGGAAAAUUCACUUUCCGCCUGAUUUUGAAGCGCUUAGUAUUUCACAGUUUUUUUUUCUUAGUCACAUAUUACAAAAGUUCAUGAUAUAUGUACCUUCUAAUCCAUCUUUCUAAGACGAUUUUCUUCAUCCGGUAAAGCACUUCUAAUACCUUUAUUCAGUUCAUGAAACUGAAAUGUAGAAAGAUGUUAUUCUCCAGAAAUAUAUUCCAGUGUUGCACAAACUGAAAUGUAGAAAGAUGUUAUUCUCCAGAAAUAUAUUCCAGCCUUGCACAAUGGCAGAGGCACAAUUUUCACUAAGAGUUCAAAUAUGAAAUAACACCCGAAGAAGUUAAAUGGGAUUAAAUGUUUACUUAUAUAUACAAAAAAAAAAAAUUAUAAUCAUGUAUGAACAGUGUUGGGAUGAACCCUUAGCCCUACUAGAUCUGCCCAUGCUUGCAUAGACUGUCAAAAGAACAUAUCAGAGAUAAAAACCAUAGAUUAAAUUACAGUUUAUGCCUUGUGGCUUGAAGACAACUUUUCAGACAAUUUUCUAGCCAUUAACUGCAUCUCAAUUCCAAACUAGUUCAGAUCGUCCAGAAAAAAACUUCCGUAUCAAUUUUGGGCUAUUGAGAACCUUUGGACCAUGCUACAAAAUUAAUUUCACAGUAGUUUCUGUAGCUAAUUGAAGUAAAUUUGCAGCUAACGAGACUAGUUCAUAACAAUCGAUCACUUCUCUUAUUUUUCUUGUCAUCUAGGAAGGCGCUUGGCGACCAUGUAAGUAGUUAUCAGGUUAGAGCCAACGAAGAAAUUGAAAAUUUUCUCUCUUCAUUUUAAUCUCCAUAUUAAUUGGUAUCAUUAGGGGUGACAAAUUAAACUAUGAAAACAUGACCCACCAGACUCGCAUAAAGUCUUAACAUUACAUCCUAGAAGGAACAGUUUAUAAAACAUGUAAUCUAAAAUCAAGAAUGGAUGUGCAGUUUGCUGCUUUAAAAAGAGUUUGUAAGAACUUACCAAGGACAUCAACAGUCUACUACGUAGAAUCAAAUCACAAUUCCACUUGCAAGUUUAAGUUUGGAACUGUGAUGAUUUAAAGGCUUUACUUUCAAUCCAAAGUGAUUAUUUACUUUGUAUUAUUUUCAAUUUUCAAGGGGUGUUAGCCUACUCUAUAGAUACAAGGUGUCUCUAUCACCACUUCUACGGCUGAAUAUGCAAACACACAUACAUAAAUUAAGUCUAUCGAAAAUGUUUUCCAGCGGAAAACUACUAGCAACAAACUCCCUUUCGUUUGGAUGAAUUGAUCCAAUCACGAUACCGUUUGAGUUUUCAUCAACAUGUGCUUUUGUUGGAAAGACAGAAAACUUAAAAGGAGAAAAAAUUUACAAGUAUGAAAUCCUUAAGAGGAUAAUCGUUUUUCCAUAAUAGCGAAAAUGCAAUGAACCUCAGUGUUAAUCUUUUCACAAGUGCUCCCUUUCGUCAAUACCAGAUAGCAGAUGGCAUAAACCAUCAUUUAUGUGUGCGAUUGACCAUGCAAAUGAGGAUUCUUGAUAUUAUAGUCUCCAAGUCAUAACUUUCUUCCUGUUGCAGUUGUUUGCUCCGUCUUCAUUUGCCUUAGACUUAAUUCACGUAUUCCCUGAAAUAGUUUUAAAUGGGAUAACCGCGUCAGUUUCAUUACUACACAUCUUGAAGGAACAAGGAGAGGCAGGUGGGUGGAAUUAAGGAAGUUAUCUCUGUCUAAACUUUUAACAACAGAAAAUACAAAAAUAGCAACAACAACCAGUACAUGUGAAUGUUCGAUUCGGAUAAAGAGAGAGAUCCAGCCAUAAAGAAAUCAAGAAUGUUGUUUUUCAAGCCAGAUUACUUGCCUAGAGAGAGGAAAAAUGGAACAUGUUACUAUCCGUCACUUGCCAACGUUUGGGUACAGUACAGUCAGGUCACCGUGCUUCAUGCCAGAUAACUUGACCCAAAUAAGUUGCAGAAAGAAAAGCUAUUAGCGUGUCACUGUGUACUAAAUAGUGAAGUUAACUGCACAUUUCAUGUAAACUGCCCGUCCUACAAGAGGCAAAGAGAACUUUCUUGAACUCUUUAGUUUGUAUACAUAUUGAGAACUUUCUUCAACUCUUAUAUAGAGCAACGAGAAAUUUAACAAGCUUGAUCAGAGACAAUGAACAAAUAACACAAAAUCGGCACAUCAAAGUCGAAAAGAGAACUGUCCUACUUUUCAGUCCAAUCAGCUCCAACGAGAAGUAUUUUGUCAAUUUGACACAAGGAGAAAUUUAAAACUGGAGUAAGAAGAUUAAAGAAGAUCAUCUCAUGUUGAUGGUAAAAGUGAAAGAACUGAUAAGACUUAUACACCUAUCCUCCACCAAUAUUAUCAAGAGUAACAACAAAUGUCCUGAAAGACUACAUAAUUUACAGUCUCAUGCCAUUUAAUAUAGCAAGAUAGAACUGGAGGAUUUUUUUUUAAAUCUUUUCCCUGUGCAAAUGGCUAAAGUUCGACAUAGCAUAAUAUCCAAAUACAGUCAUCAUACAGGUUAUUUCAAGCCAAGGAAGGAGAAAAAUGAGUUUUCACAUCGAACUAUUCUAAAAUACGAUUCAUGAACCUAGUUACUGAAAACAAUUAUACUCACGAUUUACGAAUGGGUCCACAGAGAACAAAUCACAGCCAGAUGGUUGCAAACAGUCGAAGGACGCAACCAAAAGGAACACAGAACAUAAAACUACUAAACUUGUGUCUAAAAUUAUACACAUUUAAUGAUAAAAUGUAAUCAAAAAUCUGAAGUUAAGAAAUUAAAAGGAUCCAGACCCCAAUUUGUGGGAAUACACUGAGUAUGUUGUUGUUGAAGAAAUUAAAAGGAUGUAAACAUUAACACUAAACCAAAGUGGCACCCAAGGGUGUGGCUUAGUGGUCAAUGAAGUGGGAGAAGAAAAUGAGGUUUCGGGUUCAAAGCCUAGCUUCCCAUCUGCCUAAGCCAACACGGUACCUGUGUUGGUGGGAGGCAUCAGGUACCCAGUGGAAUAGUGAAGGGCGCAUAAGCUUCUUGGGCACCAGCAUUAUAAAAGAAAAAUAUUGCACCAAGCAAAUACUGGAAACAAAAAAAAGUAGUGCAAGUUUAAAAACUAAAAAUAAUAAUAUAAUAAUACUGACGGCGAAAAAUCUUCUAUUUGUGGACUGGUGAUGGCGUUAACUGUUGAAUUUUAGUCCAUAUAUCAUAAUUUGGUGUGAUGUGUGAGAGAAGUUCCAAAUUUCACCAACUGACGCUGGCUAGCAAACCACCUAUGUAGUAUGAGACCCCCCCACUCUCUCUCUAUAUAUAUACAUAUUUGAAGCCCUAAGCUGGGGGUUUAUCGGAAAUAGCCUAUCUACUUCAUCUGAGGUAGUGGUAUGAACUGCGUACACUUUACCUUUCCCAGACCCCUCUUUGUGAGAAUACACUUGGUACUUGCAUUGAUGUGGGUUAUUUGGAUGGAGAGAAUUAGGAGGGCUUUUGAGGGGGUAGAGUCGAGUUUUUCUCAAUUAAGGAAUAGCCUCCGGUCUCUUAUUUUCUUUUGGUGCACCCAUAAAAUUCCAUAUUGUAUAGAAGAAAAAUGGAUGGACUUUGUAGAGAAUCAGAUUAUGUAGAUUCUUAACCUUUUGGUUUUAUCCUUUGUACACGACCAACUCAACCUUGUUUAUGAAUGAAAUACAUUUACCUUAUCAAAUAAAAAUAUAUCUCAUCAAAAAGAAAAUCAAGCUACAAAAUUGCAGCAGAUACCAGUUUUAUUGGGUAAAUUUGAUUUUAAGCUUCAGGGAGAUGCUUUAGUCAAAAUGGCUUUCAGUAUUAAAUUCAGAUUUAAUAUGUAGAGAUCAAAUACUACCUUAACUAAUCUGAAGCAUGUUCAUUUCAAGAGAAGUACCAAAUAGAACAGUCUAUAUACUAAUGAAUACUCUAAGCUGAAACACUUGAAGUGAAGCAACAGUAGUUCCACCACCAAAUAGAGUUAUAAAAGAUACUAUAAUGAUUAUAGUAGUAUAAUCUUUCUUCUCAGAGUAUUGUUUCUGACCAAAUCGACAUUAUGAUAGUUGUGAGUCAAAAUAGCUGAAAAGUACAUUCCAAUGUGCUUCAGUUCAUUUGAAUAUUUUCUAAAAUAUAGUGAACUUUCACACAAAAGUCGAAUUAAGUCAGUGGACUGUAAAAAGUUUAAGAAAUCGCAAGUACUUAAAGGUUGAAUUACGGAGGAAUAGACCAAUAUGUUGGAAAUUUGUUUUUUCAGUUACCUUGACUUGGACUUACCUUAUAUCUAAAAGUUCAAGAAAAAACUACUUAAAUUCAUCGGUAGGAGUGAUGAUUGACAAGAAGCAUUUGCAGCAUUCUAAGAGUACAGUAUCUCCAAAAUAACAAAACUAGUUAUGAUAAGUGAAACAUUCAAGCAAAUUCUAGUUAAAUUUUCGCAUAAACUUUAUCAGCACAAAUGAAGUUGGGGUGAAAUUAAACAGGUGUAAUGUCUAAAUGUAAACAAUUCAGAUAACUAGCCUCAAUGAUCCCAGAGAAUGGUGCAAUACAAUACAAGAAAAAGUGAAUCUUAGAAUUAAAUUAGGAUACUUGAAAUAAAAGAUUGAUACAGGAGUGCAGGUAGAUUUUUAGAUGCACUGAUUUGUCAGUGUGACCAAAUUAUUGAUUGAAAACAUUAGAAGGAGAUAAGCUAAUCCUAAAAUCACACUGAACAAAGUUAGUUCAGACUUGGUGAAGAACAAAACACAAUGAAAGCAAAAGAUCCAUUUGAGCAAUGCCAUCUAGUUGGGAUUAACACUAAGACAUCCUGGUAUACUUAAAGUCUGGAAGCGAAAGAUCCAUCUGAGCAAUGCCAUCUAGUUGGGAUUAAGGGUGUGUUUGGUAUGAUGGAAAAUAUUUUCUGGAAAAUGUUUUCCUAUUUUUCCUUGUUUGGUUGCAAUAAAAUAUUUGGAAAACAUUUUCCACAACAACUCAUUUUCCUCAAUUUGAGGGAAAAUGACUUUCCUCAUGGGCCAAGAGAAGUCAUUUUUCAAAAAAUGACAAAUGAGACUUAUGACCCCACCCCCACCCCAACAACACUCAUAUUCACAUGACUCAAAAAAUUCACAUUUCUCAAAAAUUUACAUUAUUCGAAAAUAUUUUUUAUUGUGCUUUGCUUCAAUUUUUCACUGCUUGAAAUAAAAAAUAGUAAAGNNNNNNNNNNNNNNNNNNNNNNNNNNNNNNNNNNNNNNNNNNNNNNNNNNNNNNNNNNNNNNNNNNNNNNNNNNNNNNNNNNNNNNNNNNNNNNNNNNNNNNNNNNNNNNNNNNNNNNNNNNNNNNNNNNNNNNNNNNNNNNNNNNNNNNNNNNNNNNNNNNNNNNUGUAAGAGUUGCUAGAGGCACUGAUAUACUAGUUAACAGUUAGUAGUAUUUUCUAAAAAAAUAUUUUUUCACUCACUCAUCAAACACUAUAAAAUAUUUUUCUAAAAAAUAGUCUCUACUCACCAACCAAACACCAUGAACUAUUUUCCGGAAAAUAUUUUUCACUCACCAACCAAACAUGAGAAAAUAAGUAGAAAGCCAACUUAUUUUCCAGGAAACAUUUUCCAUGAAAAAUAUUUCCAUCAUACCAAACACACCCUAACACUAAAUCAUGCUGGUAUACUUGAAGUCUGGAAGCAAAAGAUCCAUUUGAACAAUGCCAUCUAGUUGGGAUUAAUACUAAGUCAUGCUUGGUAUACUUAACGCCUGGAGUACACCCAAAGUUUUUUUUGAUUUAUAUAGAGAUUUGUAUGACAGUAAGAUCCAUUUGAGCAAUGCCAACUAGUUGGGAUUAACACUAAGUCAUGCCGGUAUACUUCAAGUCUGAAGUACGCCCGAAUGUAUGAUGGUAAGAUAAAGAGAACCUCUGGGCCUAGAGGGAUUUAAAGUUGUCUUAAAAGAAAAUCAUAGAGUAUUAAAAUGAAACAUGUGCAAAUGGAAUCAAAACGAUAUUGAGAAUGCAAAUGGAAUCAAAACGAUAUUGAGAAUCCAUAGAGUCAACCCCAAUUAAAUUGGAAUUAAAAUGUGGUUACUAUUGUCCUUAAAACUUUAUGAUCCCACAGUUGAAUGACAAUUCAAAUUGUAACAGUGAAUUAGAAGCAGUGAAGAUCACAAGAGUGCAAAACUUUUGAAAGACUUAGUGCUACACAGCAUUGACUGUUCAAGUUAAUGAGUUAAUGAGAUUUGCUCGAGGCUGAUGACUUGUGAUGGUGGCAUCUAAAGUCAUUGGCUACUUAUUUGCUUUCUGAUAAAGUGUACAAUGAUAAAACGUGAAAACAGAGGGCAAUUUUAUCAUUGCAACUAUAAAUUCCAUUUCAUAUCAGCUCCAAUAUCUCACUCAAGUGACGUGAAAAGCUAUUUGUACCUUGUGUCUACUUGUCACUGAACCUCCCUAUGUCCUCUCAUUGUAAUUCAGAAACAAAUUUCAGUUGUGAAGAGGAACCAAAUUAUCUAAUAACACACACCCAAUCACCAACCUAACACGUCUAAUUAAACACGAGUUCAUAGCUAAGGUUAAUUAACCACACGGUAGAAUUCAGAUUCAAAGGGAAAGAAAGAGAGAGAGGAAGAGAGAGAGCUAACCGAUGAACGAAGAGGCGGUGAUUCAAUAGGAAUGUAGCGUACAGACAUCUUAGCGAUCUCAGAAAUGGAAUCCUCCGUUACUCCAGGAACGUCACUGGUUAAUUCCUCGUAUGCAGCCUCAAAUGCGUCCUGCCAAAACUUCGGCAAUUUGAUCCCACGGCUAUUUGUGUAUACAUCCCACAUAUGCUUCACUAACUUCUCCCUUUCUUCCAUUUCCUGCCAAAAAUACAUACAUAUACAAUCGAAAUCAAUGAAUCCAAAACUAGCCUCAGCAUUUCAAUUAGAAAAAGGAAGAAAAUGUACGGACGAGAACGUCGAGAUCUUCGGGAAGAGGAAUAUCGAUGUCAUCGGAGAUAGCAUUGAGGUUACCGGCGGACCAACGGAGAGUAACAGUACCGGUAAGCAUAGACCAAAAAGCUAACAAUAAGAUAGCCGCAAAAGCCCAAAACUUAUAACGAUCUCUACCGAAAAUGGCGGAAUAGGAGGAGGAAGAAGAAGUUUCCUUCUUGGAAAGCGUGCAAGCUGUUGUGAACGAUGAUGAAGGUGCCGUCGGCGUCGAUAUUGGAAGGCCAUCCUCAUCCUUCAUUUCUAAAUUUUAUUUUAUUUUCGCUUUAGCUUUUUUUUUCCUUUUUAUACGUUUGCUUUAUUUGAAUUUGCUUUGCAUCUCUAUGUUAAUUGUCAUUAUAAAAUGGAUUGAUUCUCUGUUAUCGAUUUAUCGUGUUAUCGUGCAGCGAUUAUCUAUUUGAUUUCCACCAUUUUUUACUUUUAAUUUGGUUUAUUUUGAUAAAUAUUUUUCAAAAGUUUACUAUAAGCGUAAAAAAGUAUUGAAGUAGUUAGAUUGCCGAGUUUGGCUCAGGUUAAUCUUUUCAAAGUCAAAAGGUGCUUUUGAGGUAUGAUUACAAAUAAUGAGAUGCAGAUGUUCACCAUUAAAUUAAUACUAUUAUUUAAGUAUAAAAAAAAAAUUGAGAGUGUUAUUGUGUCAGCAUGUUUAUGGGAUUUUUUAUUUGGGUAAAAUUAUUUUCACCCCCAACUUUGAUUAAAAAAUUAAAUUCCCCUCAACAUUGAAUAAUAAUCAUAAUCUCCCAUUUAUCCCAUACAAUAUUUAUUUUGUUCUUAUAAAUUUAAUCAUAUAUUUAUAUAAUAUCUUUUUAUAUUAUAUGUAAUGAAUAUUUUUUUAACAUGAAUAUUUAUAGCAUUUUAUUUAAGUUUAUUGAUUUUAUAAGCAAAUUAAUGUUUUUUUAUAAGUUUAUCACAAAAUUCAACGUUAUUUUUUAAGAUCAUUAUUUUAGUAUUAUAUGUAUUAAAGAGUCGUUUGGUGUGAGGUGUAAUUAAUUCAGAGAUAAAGUUCAUGAUUAUUUAUUCUGCGUUUAAUUAGAUAUAUUAGAUCUCAAAAUUAUUUGUCGCGUCAUUUAUACCGCAGUGAUGAGAUAAGUUAUUACACAUACAUGUUAGUACAACUUAUUUUGUGAUUACUAAUUUUGGAAUAACUUGUUUCCAAACAACUCACCCCUAAUUGUGUAUAUAUACAUAUGUAUGUACAUGCAUGUGCGUAUAUUUUCGUUUUUUAUCACUCUCUUACUAAAUUCAUCUUAUAUUAAUUAACUUUUUGUUGAUAUAACACAAUCCUUAAAAAAAAAAUUACUUAGAGGUAUAUUUUACUAAAUUAAACUUAUUAAUGAUAAUUUGAAACUUUAAAUUUAUCUAUACUGCUACUUUAUAUAGUUAUUUAACACUAAAUGGUAGAAAAAAAACAUAAUACAAUUCUCUUGAUUUCAUAAAUUGAGCAGAUAAAUUAAAACAUCUAUUUUUAGUAUGAGAAUCAAGUGAUAAAAAAUGAUAUUAUUUAUUGUCUAUAUUAGUAAAUAAGUUAUGAUUGUCAUUAAUAGAGUAUUGCAUAUUUUAUAAUUUAUAUAAAUAAAUAUAAUCUUUAAAAUUUGACCUUAUUUUUAUUCGAGAAAAACAUCUAGUACCUCCGAACUAUGACCAAAUUUGCUACGAUACGCGUCAACUUCACGGGGUCCUAUUACCCUUAAACUAAAUUUUAGCGUAUUUUUGUCAAUCUUUUUAGCUAACGUAAUACCUUUUGUCAAUCAUUUUAGAUGGCAUGACACCUUUGACGUGGGUUUCAGUUUAUGUAAUAAAGGUGCCACAUUAGCAUAAAAGAUAACAAAAAUACGCUAAAUUUGAGUUCAGGGAAUAGUAGGACCACUGUGAAGUUGGAGUGUGUCGUAACAACUUUGAUCACAGUUCAGGGUGGUACUAGAGGCUUAUCGUUUUCAUUUAUUGUUUGUAUUUUCUGCAUUGAAAUAUGUUUAUAAAAUUGGUACUACUUAUUAUUUUCACUUGUAAAAUAAAUAUUAUAGUUUUGAUUAUUAUUAAUAAAAUUAAUUUUCUUAUCAUGCUAAUUUACUGCAUAAAGAUCAUCAUUAGCUUAUAUACUUAAUUAGUAUUUCUUACUUUUUUUCCUAGAAGAUAAUAUUUAUGUUUUUAUGAGAAUUUUGUUAUGUGAAUUUUUUUAAAAAAUGAAAAUAUGAUGAUUUUAAAGAAGUUAAAAAAAAAAAGAAUAAAAAAUUUGAUGAUAAAGGGUAAAAUAGAAAUUUUAAAAAGUUAAUUAGAAUAAAGGAGGGGUAUGGUUAUUAUUCAAAGUUGAGGGAAAUGAUUGAUUUUUAAGAUAAAGUUGGGGAGGGAAAAUAAUUUUGACCCUUUUUAAUUUUAAACUGACACUCAUUGAUUUAUCUAUAGAAUAGAAGUUAAGUGAUAAAUAAAGUUAUUUAUGAGUAUUUUCUCAAGUGUGUGUUAUCCUAUGGAUUUAUAAGUCACAUUUAUUUACUACAAUUUAUAUAUUUCCUUUUCAUUUUGUGCAUAUUAUUUUGGUACUGUUUUAUGCGGAUAUUUUAUUUUUAGGGUCCAAUUUGAUAUUUCUAAGAUAAGUAAAUUAAUUGUUAUUAUAUUUUGAUAUUUAAUAAAUCUCCUAAGUAGUACAGAGGUGUAAGAGGCUAGCUAUAGAUAGUUUUAAGCGGGGUAGAGGUAGAUCGAGGAAAUAUUAGAGGGAGAUGAUUAGGCAUCGUAUGGAGCAGUUACAGCUUAUGAAAAAUAUGACCGUUUAUAGGAAAGUGUGGAGGACGUGAAUUAGAAUAGAGGGUUAGGGGUAGGAGUGUGACUAUAACAGUAAGAAAGAGUAUUUUGUUUGCCGUAUGGAGUUUUCUGUUCGUGGUGUUUGAAUGAUCUAUAAUUUCGGAUAAAUAGUUUAUAGUAUUGGCUUGGAGUUAUAUUGUUUCCCCAAUCAUUUUGCAUACUAUAUUAAUUUAUUUUGCAUGUUGUUUUAGUUUAUAUGCAUUAAUAUUUUUAUAUUUGUUAUAUUAUUAUCUUGAGUCGAGUAUUUAUGAAAAACAGUUUCUACUUCAUCUGAGUUAGUUGUAUAAUCUGCUUACACCUUUCUAGACCCACAAGGUGGUAAUAUAUCGGAACCAAAAUAUGUCAUUAAACUAAAGAAAGUACAAAAAUAUGUCAUGUUUUAAAAGUGAUACCAUAAUAUGUCUAAUUCUCUUAAAAAGAGAGUUAUAUGUAUUAUUUUUAACGGAAAUGAGCAAACGGAGUUAAGUUUCAGAAAAUGUACAUAACUCACUUAAUAAGUGAGUUAUGCAUUUUUUCUAACACAACUCUCUUAAAAAAAGAGUUAUGUAAGAGAAGUUACAUAACUCUAUUAAAAAGAGAGUUAUGCAUUUUUUUUUUUACAUAACUCACUUAAAAAGUGAGUUAUGUAAUAGAAGUCACACAACUCUAUUCAAAAGAGAAUUAUGCAUUUUUUUUCUACAUGACUCACUAGGUGAGUUAUACAUUUUUUCUACACGACUUACUUAAAAAGUGAGUUAUAUAAUAAAAGUUACACAAUUUAUUUUUUUUUCUCUACGUAAAUAUAAUAAAAAUUAUAUAACUCACUUUAUAAAAACUUACAUAUUAUGUGAACAAUUAAUUUAUCUUUCAAAAUUUUAUUUUUUGAAAGAAAGCUAACUAUUACGAAACGGAGAGAGCAAAACUCAUUGAUUAUGUGAGUUAUUCAAAUAUAAAAUAAGUUAAAAAAAUGAGUUAUCCCUUGAAUAUAGCUCUUAAAAUAUGUGUGAUAAGUGCAUAACUUUAUUAGUGAUAUGAAAUAUGAAUAUGGUGCGAAAAAUAUAUGAGUUAUGCAAAAUGUUGACAUGUUCAUCAAAAACGUUUGUCAGUCAUAAAAGUACCAUUAGAAAAAAAGUAAAAUUCACAAAAAAAAUGAGUUAUCCUUCUUAUUUCUAUAAAACUCACAUAUUUAUAAUUAUAUAUAUAUAUAUAUAUACUAGUUUAGGUGUACACGCCCCGCGCGUGUACCUUAGUUUAAUGAAUUCAAUUUUAUAAAACCAUUCAAGAUAUAAAAGGCAUGAUGAUUUUUUAAAAUGUGUAUUUCAUUUUUUGUUUGUUAGCAUCUUCACAUUACGGCUGCUUUCAACUAUUAUUCAAUUCUAUUAAAAAGUAGAAAUUAGUCAACCGAGAAGCAAGUAUCUUAAUUUAAACACAAUAAAAUUUACAAAGAAUAGUAUAUUCUCUUGAGUCCUCCCUCAAACCAUUCUCCUUAACUCUUAACUCUUUCUCUAAUCCUCUCAAUCUCUCUUUUCAACUUCUUUAUUUUCAUAUCAACACAAUUAUUAUUUUGUUUGAAUUCUUUAGGUUUGUUAGCUUCUUCAGGAGAUUCCUCAACUAAUCUGUUCAGCCCAAUUAAUUUCUCAACUUCAUUAACUGAUGUAUGAUAUUCAAUAUGUUGGGAAGAUUCCUCGAAAAAUAUUUUUGUCAAUUAAUAUUUAUAUUUAGGAUUUUAUUAUAGUAGGUAGAUAGAUUAACUCAAUUUACAACGAAUAAUGUACUUGAUACGCCUUCAAACUUAAUUAGUAAGCCCAAAAUUGAAAGACUCUGCUACAAUCCUAAAUUUAUAUGUUCACCAUCCAAACAAAAGUUAUGCAUAUCAAAAUUCAACACUUAUAUUUAGAACUCAACUAAUAAGUUUAAUUAAUAAUUCAAGUAUAAUACCAACGAAAUAGUUAAAUAACAUAAUCAAAACAAUGUCACAAUUAAAUAAAGGAAGAAAAAAGAAAAGAGAUAAAUCUUUGAGAUUUUUGAUCACUUUACUCGGUGGCGACAUGCUUAUUUCUUUCAAUUUUUGAUUAGAAAUUUCCUAUUGAAAGAGAAACACGAAAAAUUAUCAAAAGAGAAAAUUUUAUUGUCACUUGUGGAUGAUUUAAUCAUAAUUUAUAUAAUAUAAUCUUUAAAGUUAUUAAAUAAAAACAAAUAAAGAAAGACGGAGAAGAUGAUAAUUAAUGAGGACUACACACGCACAAAAAGGAAAAGACAACUUGAAUUAAUAACAAAUAAGGAAGAAAAAAUAAAAGUAGAGCUUUGUUUCUUGUAAAUUUGAUCCAAAAUAUAUUAAUUAAAUAGAAUUGUAGUUUUUUUUAUUUAAGGUAAAAUUCUAAGUAAUUUAGAAGUGUUAAAUAUUAUGAAUUCUUACUUAAAUUAAAUAACCAAAUCAAUAGAAGUUAUAACUAAAAUAAAUUGGGAACAAAACAUUUAGCCAAAAGGAUUGUUACGUGAAGAGAAAAAAAUGGCAAAAUAGUACUCACCAAUUAAUUAAAUUUUUAAAAGAUUUAUUUAAGAUACAAUUUUUAAUUGAUUUAAAAUUCCUAAAUUUUAGCUAAAAAAGAAAAAGAAAAAGACAAUUUGAAUUAAUAACGAAAUAAGGAGAAAAAAAAUAGAAGUAGAGCUAUGUUUCUUUAAAUUUGAUCCAAAAUAUAUUAAUUAAAUAGAUUGUAGAUUUUUUUUUUUUAUAUAAGGUAAAAUGCUAAGUGAUUUAGGAGUGUUAAAUACUAUGAAUUCUUACUUAAAUUAAAUAACCAAACCAAAAGAAGUUAUACCUAAAAUAAAUUGGGAACAAAACUUUUAGCAAAAAAGAUUCAUACAUGAAGAAAAAAAAAAGCCAAAAUAGUACUCACCAAUUAAUUAAAGUUUUUAAAGAUUUGUUAAGAAACAACUUUUAAUUGAUUUAAAAUUCCUAAAUUUUAACUAUAUAAUUCUAAUAAGGAAAGGUUUAAGAACUAAAUUUUAAUGAAUUUUUAAGUUUUAAUUUUUUUUUAAAAUGUAAAAAAGACGUUUUUGUCUAUUGCACGAUUUUUUGAAUGAAGGGCAAAAAGUUCAAAUCACUUUUGGGUCUUCACACUUUUAAUAUAUUAUGGAUUAUAGAUAUAUGAGUUAUGCAAAAAGUUGACAUGUUCAUAAAAAACGUUUGUCAGUCAUAAAAAGUACCAUUAGAAAAAAUGUAAAAUUCACAGAAAAAUGAGUUAUACUCACAUUUAUACUCACAAUUUUAGGGGCUUAACUUGAAAUCAAUAAAUCGAUUGUUGCAGUAUUUUUCUUGUCUUGAUUAUUAUUUUCGGUCUCGAGAAUUUUACUGUCCAACAGUGAGUUUUAUAUAAAUAAGAAGGAUAACUCUUUUUUUUUUGUGAAUUUUAUAUUUUUUCUAAUGGUACUUUUUAUGACUGACAAACAUUUUUUAUGAACAUGUCAAUUUUUUGCAUAACUCAUAUAUUUUUCGCACCAUGUUCAUAUUUCAUAUCACUAAUAAAGUUAUGCACUUAUCACACAUAUUUUAAGAGUUAUAUUCAAUGGAUAACUCAUUUUUUUAACUUAUUUUAUAUUUGAAUAACUCACAUAAUCAGUGAGUUUUGCUCUCUCCGUUUCGUAAUAGUUAGCUUUCUUUCUAAAAAAAUAAAACUUUAAAAGAUAAAUUAAUUGUUCACAUGAUAUGUAAGUUCUUAUAAAGUGAAUUAUAUAAUUUUUAUUAUAUUUAGGGAUAAUACCCACGAAAAUAUCAGAACAUUAACCAAACUUUCAGUGGAGCAUAUUGAACUUUGCGGGGGUCAUAUUACCCCCUAUACUUUUUAAUUGGAAUUAAUUUCCCCGUACGUUUUUAAAGAGGAAUUAAUCCCCCAAAACGUUAUACCCAGUUUUUACGGUGGAAAGUGUGGCACACGCGCUGUUUCUUCUCCAUUUUAUCAUUUUUCAAUAUUUUUUCACCAUUACAAUCAUAUUAAAUAUUCCAAAUGAUUUCAUUGAGUCAAUUUCAAAUUCCAAGUCUAUUCUUAUUCCAAAGUCAAUUUCAAAUAUUCCAAAGUUUUUUCAAAUAAUUGAAUGGAAUCUUCCAUUAAUUUUCCAUUGAAACUCGGAAGAUUCAAUUAGUUAGUUUCAUUAAUGGAAGAUUCAAUGAAACUCGCUAAUUGAAUGAAACUCGCCAAUUGAAAACUCAAUAGAAGAUUUAAUUUUCAUUAAUGAAAUUCGGAAGAUUUGAAAAUUUUAAUUUCAUAUAUGAAGACAAAAAUACAGACUGUACAUGUAUGAAGCUAUUCAAUCUUUCGUUAAUGAAACUCGGAAGAUUCAAUUUUCAUUAAUGGGACUCGGAAGAUUCAAUGAGCGAAUUUCCGAGUUUGAAUCUUCCGAAUCUUUCAUUGAGUUUUAAUUAGCGAAUUCCAUUAAUCUUUUAGAAUGGGAACUGAAACGGAAUCUUCAAGAAUUUAAUUUCAAUUCAGUAAUGGAGCAACCAUUGUUGAAGAAAAGAAAGAAGAGAAGAGAAGAGAGAAGAGAGAAGAGAGAAGAAAAAAAAUAAAAAAAUAAAUAAAAAAGAUAAAACUUUUAAUAAUGAUAAAAUUAAGGGAUUGUUUGGCAAAAAAAAAAGAGUUUAUAACGUUUUUAACACUUUUCAUGCGCUCAAUGUGCAUAACUAACACGCAAUGGGUUAAGUGACAGAUAUAUGCCAUUAAAAUACGAAAAAAAAAGUUCGGGGGCAAUAGGACCCCCGUAAAGUUCAAUAUGCUCAACUGGUAAUCCGAUCAAAAUUCAGAUAUUUUUGUGAGUAUUCUCCCUUUUAUUUACAUAGAGAAAAAAAAACAAGUUUUAUAACUUUUAUUAUAUAACUCACUUUUUGAGUAAGUCACAUAAAAAAAAGCACAACUCACGUAGUUAGUUAUGUAGAAAAAAAUACAUAACUCUCUAAAACAGUUGUGACUUCUAUUACAUAACUCACUUUUUAAAGUGAGUUAAAGUGAGUUAUGUAAAAAGAAAUGAAAAAGUGAGUUAUGUAAAAAGAAAUGACGCAUAACUCUUUUUUUAAUAGAGUUAUGUAACUUUUCUUACGUAACUUUCUUUUUAAGAGAGUUAUGUUAAAAAGAAUGUAUAAUGAGUUAUAUAUAAAUUUUCUGAAACUUAACUUCGUUUGCUCAUUUUCGUUAAGAAUAAUGCAUAUAACUUUUUUUUUUAAUAUAGUUAAGCAUAUUAUGAUACCACUUUAAAAAUAUGACAUAUUUUAAUACUGUCUUCGUCUAAUUUUAUGUAUCGUCAUUUGAUCUGGAAUGGAGUUUAAGAAAUAAGAAAAAUUUGCUAAUAUUUAUCAAAUUAUUCUUUAUCAAAAAUAUAUUAAUAUUUUUUUUUAAUUAAAUGGGACCAAUAAAGAUAAAAGUAAAAUUUUAUCUUAAAAAAAAGAAAUGAUACACUGAGACAGGCAAGUUUUUUUUUUUUUUUUUUUUUUUCAUGGCAUAUGUUAGAAAAAAAAAAUUAAACCCGAGAGAGGCAAUUUUUUUUUUUUUUUUUUUAGUUUCAUGGCAUAUGUUAGUUCUGCCUGUAUUUUCAAUUGCAAGUGUUAACUGGAGCUGAUUAAGUUCAUACUUAUGAGCAACCUACUCCAAAUAGUAAAUUAUUGCACUCUAGCCCCCUCGCUUUGCUAAUUGAAAUCGGAAAAAAUGCGGUGUCCGUACUGUUCGGCGGAGCAAGCGCGGUGCGCCACCAGCACCAGCGGCCGACCAAUUACCGAAUGCACAUCCUGCGGCCGUGUAGUGGAGGAGCGAUUAACUCAAUCCCACCAUCUUUUUCAUACUCGUGCACAAGAUUCCCCUCUUUGUCUCGCCACUUCCGACCUCCCUACUCUUCCCAUCUCCGCCACUCACGACGACGAUGACCCUUUUGAACCCACCGGUUUCAUCACCGCUUUUUCUACUUGGUCGCUCGAACCCUACCCAGUAUUUGCGCAAUCCUCAAUUUCAUUUGCCGGACACUUAGCGGAGCUGGAGCGGGUGCUCGAAACGACGUCGUCUUCGUCCAGUUCAUCUACUUCUUCUUCCGUUGUGGUGGAGAAUCUUCGGGCUUAUUUGCAGAUUAUUGAUGUGGCUUCUAUUCUGAGGUUGGAUUAUGAUAUAUCGGACCACGCGUUUCAGCUAUUCAGGGAUUGUUCUUCGGCUACGUGUUUGAGGAAUCGGAGUGUUGAAGCGCUUGCUACUGCUGCUCUUGUACAUGCUAUUAGGGAAGCUCAAGAGCCAAGAACUCUCCAGGUAUGUUAAAUUGGUAAACAGAUGGCAUAACGUGCUUGUGAUUUUUGUGUGUUGUGUCUACUCUAUAUACUAUGCGAUUGCUGAAUUUGAAAGGGACGAAACCAAUCAAGCUCUAAGCUUUGCUUGGUCUAUAUACUAAUUCAGCUAAUUGGCAUCUGAUUGAACUCUUGAUUAAAUUUUUUUAAAGCGAAGAACAUCUUUGUAAAGGAAUAUGGGGUCCAAAAACAAUGGGUAACUUCCUCUGUAUAUACUAUAGAUGUGUUGUUUGGUAUGGCAGAAAAAUAUUUUUCAGGAAGUGCUACUGUCAUCCAUUAUUGGCGGGAAUCAUUUUUCUUGCCAAAUAUCACUAUUGAUACUGUGAAGCAUUUGCUUCAAUCAACAUAGAAUCCAUAGUUUCAAUCCUGAAUACUGCUAGAGAUUCACCGAGAUAGUACUGGUAUACCCAAUCCUCCUCCUUUUAUAAGUGUGUGAUCAUCACAUGUCAGGUACUUUAUGCCCAACAAAUACCAUAAGAUAUUCAACAUUGUUUUUUGUAGAUAAACAAUUUUCACAAAGACAUAUUUCAUGGGGAACAUUUUCGUCCCUGUCGAACAUUGUUAGGGUCCCACAUUGGUUGAGAGUAUACACCUUAGUCUCUUUAUAUGGUCUUAGAAAAUGUUAAUGUCAUCAGCUUGGUUGAAGGUUCAUUUUGUUAAUGUACCAGGAUGUGGUGCUCUUGUCGUUGAUAUUGUUGAAACAUUUUAAUUAGUAGUGAUGGAACUGCUGCUAGUUACAGAUAUAGAACUUCGGUUUUCUCAGAGCACCUUCUGAUUUCAGUCGAAACAUUGAUCCUAAGCUCAUUUGGUCUCGCUAUUUCAGUAUUUCUUUUCUGGUUUUCUCAUUCAAGUCCAUCUUAGGGUUUAUCAGAUCCUGAUAUCCUUUUGCCUUCGCCCAACUUCCCCCUCACUUUCUCCUUUCUUUUUUCUUAUCUGAAAUGGAAGAAAGGGAAGUCGGGGAAGGGAAGAGAAAAGAACCAAAUUAAAAAGAGGGGAAAUAGAAGAGAAAAGGCAGGAAACGUUUGGUGGGCCGUAAAGGGAACUUCUUUUCUAUUAUUCUUCCUCUCCCACGUCCCCCCAGUGUUCUUUUCCCCCGUGUUUCUAGAACCAAAAAAGGGACGUGAAACUCUUGUAUUUCUUUCUUCUUCCCUUCCCUAGUUUCCUUUAGUAGAGUCUUAUAAUACCCUGUGAAAGUUUGAUCAUCACCACUAAAUCUACUCACCUUUUCUCUUUUUUUUUUUAAUCUUUGGGGGAUUACACUGAAAGCCAAAUAAAAUGGUCAAUGACAUAUGCUCCACGAAAUAAAACGUUGCUUUAAAAUAGCAAGAACAAUGUAGAAAGCAUUAUCAUGAAAUGGGCCUUUGAGUUGGUAUUGAUUGUGAAGACAGAGAGUUGUGCAAGAAGCCGUGUAUAACUAUUGUCAAUUGUAAUUAUUGAGAGAGAGAGAGAGAGAUCGGUCUCAAGGUUGGAGCAACGUAUCUUUUAUAUCAUGCUAAUCUGUGUUUGUCGAGGUUAUUAAUUGUAUACCAUGUUUAAUUUGAAAUAACCGGACAUUCUUCCAAUUGUAGGUCAAACUGAACAUUUUUGCUUUUGAGUUUUUUUUCUCUUCGAUUGGAUGCUUAAUUUUUUGCAUCUGUGUGGUAUUCUGAGAUGCAUUUCAGGAAAAAUAUAGUCUCAUGUACUUUCUGAUUUUCGGAGCUUCUCUAAUUUGAAUUAUUUGAUAACUAGGAAAUAUCAGUUGCAGCCAAUUUACCUCAGAAGGAAAUUGGGAAGUACAUAAAGAUUCUUGGAGAAGCGUUACAACUCAGUCAACCUAUCAAUAGUAAUUCUAUCUCAGUCCAUAUGCCAAGGUUUUGUACACUUCUUCAGCUGAAUAAAUCUGCUCAGGUACCUAGCCGGUUUAUUGAAAAGUUAUUAAUCAGUUGCCUUGGUUAAUUGUGUAGGAUAUUGUCAUUAACAAAAAGGCAAUCAAUAGCCUAAAAAAGCUCUCUUUCCCAGUCGGUUUGUUUGAGAUCCUGGAUAUGUCAUGUCAUGUUGGUCCAAUUAAUGUGUUUACCCUAGUUCAUCAAAUUAGUAUUUAGUUUACUUGAAGGUUCCUUUUUAUUUACUUCAUCUUUGGACUGUAUCUUGCGCAACGAUUGCAUCAGGAGCUGGCAACUCACAUUGGUGAAGUAAUCAUCAAUAAAUGCUUUUGCACGCGAAGGAAUCCAAUUAGUAUCUCUGCUGCUGCUAUAUAUUUGGCAUGUCAACUAGAAGACAAGCGGAAGACCCAGGCUGAAAUAUGUAAGGUGACUGGACUCACUGAGGUUACUCUUCGUAAGGUGUACAAGGAGCUUUUGGAGAACUGGGAUGAUCUCCUACCAUCAAGUUAUAAACCGGUUGUUCCACCAGAUAAGGCUUUUCCUUCAGCUGCCAUUCCUACAGGCCGUUCAUCAACACUUAGAGUUGAUUUAGUUGAGGGAACUUCAUCUGAGAGGGACAAGCCUGUUAAACCAGUCGACUCAUUAGAUGCAUCUCCUCAGAUCAGAUCAAAGGAGGACUCCCAUAGCAAAGAUAAUGAUACAACUCAAAUAUCUUGGCCAACAACAUAGCUACAGAGAAGAGUCAGAAUGCUACUCAAGAAAUGGAUAUUGAUUAUGUAUAAUUUUCUAUUCAAAUUGAUUUCAACUUUAAUGAACUGAUAAAGAAAGCCUUAUGUAAAAUAAAAAUUCUUUAUCAUACCUUUAAAUUUUCUCGUUCUUGGAGGUAAAACAUCAGUUUGACCUAAGAAACACGAUAAGGUUGAGACUAUAUGAAACCUAGAAAUUUGCUUUAUGAACUUCAAAGUUCUUAACAAGAGGAAUUAGGCACAAUGAAAGAUGGAAUUCUUGUAUAUUGUGAACCUUGGGAUGUGAUUAGAUAGAGUUGGAGCAUACAUUGCUUCUGAAGAAGAACUAAUGUGUUUGAUGGGUCAUGUAAUCACCAUUAAUGAAUUCCUCUAUAUUCUCUAUACUUGAAAAAUAUCUUAACAUUAUGAAACUAAGGCAAUGAGUAGAGCGCUACCUGGAAGCUCUUGUGGUUACCUCUUCCGUCAUGUAUUUCAUCAUCUUUAUCUGUUUUUAAGAAUGCGAUGAGCUUAAAGAGAAGGUGAAAGUGGGCAUGUCCGCUUUCACCUUCUCUUUAAGCUAAUCGCAUUCUUCCUUAAAAACAAAUAAAGAUGAUAAAAUACAUUGAAUCGAAUGGUUAACCACAAAAACUUUUUGUUAGAGCUUUAGUAAUUGUGUAGUUUCCGCAUAGUUAAGACUUUUCUCAAAUAGAGAAGAAUUCAUUAAUAGUGAUUACUUGACUUAUCAAGCACCUUAGUUGCUCUUUAUAGAACAACAUAUGCUCCAACUCUUAUCUAAUCGCAUCCCAAAGUUCACAAUAUACAAGAAUUCCAUCUUUCAUUGUGUCUAAUUCCUCUUGUUAAGAAGUAGGAAUUCAAAAUCCAACUUCUAGGUUUCAUAUAUAGUCUCAACCUUAUGGUGUUUCUUAUGCCAUAACAUUGUUUAACCUCUGAGAGUGGCAAUAUUUAAAAAUAUGAUGAAGAAACUUAUUUUACCUAGAGGAUUCUAGGUUUUUCUCUUCAAAUAUUCUUGAAGGUCUAGAAGAGAAUUUGAUGAGAUCUUGAAGUGAGGACCUAGGAGUGACAUAUAAUCCAUGAAAUCCAACCAAAAA
rnacentral:lncRNA from 1 species